GCCCGGUGACACAAUGUUUAACGGCCGCGGUAUUCUGACCGUGCGAAGGUAGCGUAAUCACUUGUCUUUUAAAUGAAGACCUGUAUGAAUGGCAUCACGAGGGUUUAACUGUCUCCUUCUCCCAGUCAAUGAAAUUGAUCUGCCCGUGCAGAAGCGGACAUAAAGACAUAAGACGAGAAGACCCUAUGGAGCUUCAGGCUAAGGACCAGACAUGUAAAACAGGCCAAUUACUCAAAAAGACCAAUAAAACCCCUAAAACCAAGCGUUAAUUGAUCCAAAUGCCUUCGGUUGGGGCGACCACGGGGGAAAACAAAGCCCCCAUAUGGAACGGAGACACCUCCCAAACCAAGAAAAACACCUCUAAGUAACAGAACAUCUGACCAAAAAUGACCCAGGACAAACAAAACCUGAUCAAUGAACCAAGUUACCCUAGGGAUAACAGCGCAAUCCUUUCCCAGAGUCCAUAUCGACGAAAGGGUUUACGACCUCGAUGUUGGAUCAGGACAUCCUAAUGGUGCAGCCGCUAUUAAGGGUUCGUUUGUUCAACG
rnacentral:rRNA from 1 species